AGGGAACCCCCUCUCUUCACCCGGAAACUGCGUGUUCCUUUAAUCUGGAGCAAGCGGGAGCCUCCUAUCCUGAUCUUCCUGCUGGGAACUGUAUUAAAAGAAUAAAAGAGGACUUUUUCCCCCUUAUUUUUCCCCAUUUUAAAGAAGACCAGCAAGAGGCUCCCUCCAAAGCAACAUCAAGAUGGCUCUAGAAAUCAUCCCUUAUGGGAUGCCUUAGUGAAAGGGUACCACACCAAGCUGAAGCAGACAUUCCACAAUGUUGAGGGCCACAUCACAGAUUCGGGAGCUGAUGUCAUGAUUCAAGACCAAGUAAACUGCUUUAAGAACCACCUUGAAAGAAGAAAUGAACUCUGUGCUGGAAAAUCACUUGCUCAGUGCUCUUGAAUAUCACCUCACCGUGGCUGUUGGAGUGGUCUGGCAGUUGAGCAGCUUCAAAAGCUGGAAAUGACUGGGCAUCUCCAGAUCAGAGAGGUCUUGGAAACGGCAGCAAAACUGCAGUGAGGAACACAGCCAUCACAUUUCUUACUACAAUGGAUACAAAUGAGUGAGAAAGUACUAUAAAGAAAUGAAAAUGCCCCUCUUCUUUCAUGUGAGGUGAAGAGAACAAGAAAAUGAGUAUCUGUAGUUGUAAUGCAGAGUGAUCAUUAAGUGAAUUAAGAGCAUUAGGAAUUCGAUUAGAAUGGAUAAAUGAGCUGGAAGCAA